rnacentral:lncRNA from 1 species
AAACUUCGACUCCAGAUCUCACUUACAUGCAACUUGAAUGGCAAGUGCCGCCCUAGAAACAGGCUGGAUGCUCCUGGAACGUGGGCUGGGAUGUGUUCUGUGCCACAUUCCCGAGCCUUCUUUCUGGCUGGCAUUGAUAAAAGUCCUUUUUAAGGCCUACCCUGUUUCUUUGGGCCUGGAAGCAAGAAUGUUUAUAGACAUCCUGGUGAGAGAAGGCUGUUUGAUGAAUGCAGGAGACUGCGGCUAGGUGUCAGCACUUGGAAAAUGAGGCAAGGACAUGAGGUAUUAAUAUUGUCAAUGAUCUCUUGACAGGAAAACAGAUACUGCAUUCACUGUCAGAUUUAAAUAGACAUCAAGUGCAUUAACGACAAAAGGGCAGACUUCAAACAAAGGGGCUGUGUGGUGAAGAGCCGAGCUAGUCUCUGUGCUGGCAACAGCCUGAUCUGAAAAGACACCAUCAGGGUUGCAGACAGGCCCAGGAUUGUGUGCGGUGACAGAAAACAGAGAUACUGACAGAGAUACCAGCGCCAUAUUAUGCCAAGGAUAUUCUAACGCUGCCUGCGGCUCUAACGAAAGCUGACAUCACUCCCCAUCACUUGGGGUCGUCUCUGCCUGCCCCUGCAGAACAUCUCUCCCCAGACAUCAUUACAAAACUCACUGUGGCUGCAAAGGUCCUGGCAGUUCUGUUCUGCUGGAGUGGUGGGGUCAAGGGGCCUAAGGAUAACCUCAGUCAAUCUAAAUUUGGAAUUUGCAGGAGGAGCACGCCCGACCCCACUGAUAUCUUGGCUACUUGAGGUGAUCAGAAGGCCAUUGUGUGAGGAGCUGUCACCUUGAAUAAACUCCCAGAAAGGACGGCACUCAGUCUGUGGGCUGCUCCAGGAAGGCGUGGGGACGGCCUGGCAGUUGAAAAUGAGAUCCAGCUGCUGGUGCUCGCCCGGGGAGAAAGGUGCUCUGGCUAGCAAUGCUAAGAAUCGGCUGAAAUUGUCAAACUCAAACCAUCUCCAGCAGCUGAAAUUAAGCGAGAAUUGCCUCUGUGAGUCUCCUCCCAGAGCUCAGAGUUGGGAUGUGAUUACCCCCAAUAUGUGACUUUUGUGUUCAAAAAUAAAUAAAUAAAAUUAACCAGGAAAAGCAAACAUGCACGAAACAGCACAGUCCCAUGUGUGGCCACAGGCCUUUAUUUAUCAUGAAGGUUAUUUGUAAAAUAUGAGGCUCUGCUCGUAAAUUAAGUGAGGUGGCAUUGUGUUUCUCUCUCCCUCGUCCUCCCCACAGCCCUUCUUCUCCCGCCAUGGCAACUGCCAUCAACUGUGAAAAUUACGGAGGGAACAGUUUGCUUGCAAAGAACAUUUUGAUGGGGAGGCACUCCGAGGCUGGAAUUUGGGAACCCGCUGGUUUGUGACUCAGUAGGCAAUGGUUUCUCUACACAUCUGCAACGGAUUCAUUUGUUUCUAUCUCUUCAAACUACAACUUCUUGGGACUGGAGGGGGAACAACACAUUUAAUGGCAUAUGCAGUGUUUUUAAUUAAAAGAUCUGGCUUUGGCCAUAGUAAGU